GAUGAAGAACGUAGCGAAAUGCGAUAAGUAAUGUGAAUUGCAGAAUUCAGUGAAUCAUCGAAUCUUUGAACGCACAUUGCGCCCGCCAGCAUUCUGGCGGGCAUGCCUGUCCGAGCGUCAUUUCAACCCUCGAGCCCCCCCGGGGGCUCGGCGUUGGGGAUCGGCUCCCGCCCCAGGGCGCGCCGCCCCCGAAAUACAGUGGCGGUCUCGCCGCGGCCUCCCCUGCGCAGUAGCUUGCACACUCGCACCGGGGAGCGGCGCGGCCACGCCGUGAAAACCCCCCACCGGCCGGACGGCCCUGAAAUGUUGACCUCGGAUCAGGUAGGAAUACCCGCUGAACUUAAGCAUAUCAAUAAGCGGAGGA
rnacentral:misc_RNA from 1 species